UUUUUUCUUUGUGUGUGUGGCUCUUGCUUUCCCUAUCAAACUGUCUUCAUCUUCAACCCACCAGUCUUCUAGCUUUUACCCUUCCAGGUCUCCCCCAAUCCCACUGGUGGGUGAGUGAGUGAGGGCUGCAUGUGGGCUGGUUGCCAGCUGAGGUGACACCAUGACAGUCCUUUUUUGUUGCCAAAUAAGGCUGUUGUGGUUUAGGAAUGGUAUUCUCCACUUUAGUACUCCUCUAAAACCACAUGCCACUGCUCUCCCCCCUCCAACUGCAGGCACACGUUGAGGUAAGAACAAUUUGCUGGAAAUAGCAAAAAUGAGGAAAAAAAUUAGAAAAUUAACAAUAACAGCAACAAUAUUAAUAACAAAAGGUUUAAGAAAAUAAAUUAUUCACACAGAAAAACUCUCAAUAAUAGACAAUAUCAGAUGGAUCCCUCCACCAUGUUUCUUGACCAGAGGAAUCCCUUCUCCCCAGAAGGGAUUCCCUUUUCUCCCACCCCAGCAAUGACGAGAGGUGGUAUAGAAUAACCUCUGUGUCCUAGCCAUGCCCCCUCCUGGACACUGCAAAGCAAAACCUGUCCUGGCUGGAACCAGGAUGCAGGGAAGGUAGUUUCAUACAAGAUCUGAAGUCCAGCUUAGGAUGAGCACAAACUCUUCAGAUAGAGGAGCCAGGAUACAGCCUGCUGGUGCUGUUACAUGCUGCUUUUCUGACCCACGUUUGACAGAAUCAGCCUUGCAUGCUGCUACCACCCUGAAGAAUGACUAGGCCUGUCUAAGACUACAUUUCAUAACAUAAUCCAGAAACACUUCUAAAGAGAAAACGUAUGAUUCAAUUAUUUUUUGCUUGGACAAACCAAUUUUCCACCUAGUCUAUUUCUACAGAACAGGAAAUCUACUAUUUCUACAGAAAAAGCUGCAGCCUUCCAUUCUCACCAGAAUAUCUCCUUCAUAUUUAAGAAACCCAAUCAGCAUUCUCUAAAGCCCUGAUUUCAGUGCAAGUUACAUGUCUUAAUUUUAUUUAAAAUGUCUUCUGGAAACUAUUGAACAUCCUCUCCUCCAGUUCCUCACAGUAUGUGUCAGGUAUACUCAGGAGGGGCCCAGGAAUACAUUGCAAUAUCAAAUAUAAGUGUGGUUGGGUUUAGUUGUGUUAACACAGCAAGGCCAUCCCAGCUGAAUUUGUCUUGAAGAUAAAGUAUAAGCAGCUCUGCUUAGUAUGCUUCACAGUUGCCUCUAACAAGGUUUGAAUGAAGGACAGAACAAAUACAAACAAAAUUAUCUUACUUCCUAUUGCACUUAAAUUUUGACAGACUGGAAACUGUCCAAAUUCUCCUACUAUUUUGUGGUUAAAAUAGGAAAAUCCAGUCUGCUACAAAUGGAGAACAGUCCAAUUAAACACAUUUAUUACUGAAAAAUUGUCAUCUCUGGAACUGCCUUGAAGCAUGAUGCAUCAAUAAAUUUGCCUGCUAAGGCAGCAUCAUAUAUAUAAUGACUAAAGUUUGUGACAUUAGCAAGGACACUUCCAAAAUGAAAAGUGAUACAAAUUGCUGCAAGCUUUGCUUUCUAAACAUCUGAUUGUUCCUGAAUAUUAUACAAAUAAAAUCAAUCUAAACUUACUCAUUUUUCCAACAUCUGUUAGGAAUUCUUUAAGAGUCUGUUAGUGGGGACAAUUUGUCACAUCACAAAAUGAUGACAUUUGCACUACAACGUGUUAACAUUAUACUAUUCUAUUGUCACUAUAUGUGACAAACAUGGCCCUACAACAACCUUUUGUUAACCUCUCUGAUACCAUGGACAAAUAUUUGACCAUGUACUGCAAAUAGAAUCAAUGACACCUUGGGACCGAAGCAGAGCAAGUCUGUUCCCUUGUGUAAGCCAAUGUCAGCCUACUUGCCCCUAAUUCCAUGGUACCAGGAAUGCCACAAGUGCCACAUGCUCUGAUCCUGCAACACAAACCCCCUACCUCCCCUCUGAACAAGGACAGCCUGAGAUGCAAGGAGUUACUUCAUUGCAAUAGUCAAGCUAAAUGAAGCAGUAACAGAGCUCUAUAGUCAACAACUUUAAGUGGGAACAGGGAAGGAUGAAUCCAAAUUAGCCUUCUAAUUAUUUUCUCUUUAACUUGACUAUUUAAACAAUUACCUAAGUUACACAGUAAAAUGCCCUGAAAAUUUUUAGUACUAAACAGGCUUGGUUUACUGCACCACUGUUCCUUCAACAAAAAAAAAAAAAAAAAAGAGAAAGAAGAAAACCGUUUUUUUUUCCCCAUAUAGAUAUAAUAAUGAUGCCUACUUGCAUGUCAUUCCUCGGCAUUAUUAGCGUGUGAUUCAGAAACUACAAAAAAUUACAGAAUUGGUGCUGCUUUUGUUGUCAGGAUGAGCUUCAUGCUGUUAGCAAAGAGAGAUGAGAGCCACCCAGUGCUUUGGGGUUUAAACAGCUGUUAACUAACAGGGUGGCUAGUAUGGCUGCAGCAUUAACCCAGGGAUCUGACCCAAAACACACUGAAGCUGCUGUGGCCUUGCACAGCCUUUGGGCUCAGUGACACCAUAUGGAGAACCCCUGUUCUCACAGCUCAGGAGUGCAGCAGAGAGCUCAGGACAAUGAAACUCCACUACAGGGAGCCUUUGCUGCAGGGGAGUGAUGAGGACUCAGGUCUCGUUUCUCUCUGCUGAAUUGAUUGCCCGAGCAAGGAGAUUGAUGCAGAAAUCAAUUCACUCAUGCCAGCUGGUUUCCCUCUAUCUGCACUGGUAGUAAGUUGAUUGGGAUAUUAGUUUCCUUCAGCUGAUGUGUCUUCCAUAUGUAACAUGCUGACCCUAGUGAUGCUGAACACACAGCAGCUAGAAAGAUUAAAUUAACCAAUCCAUAGGAAGGAAGGUAGGGGAGUAUGAGAGAGUAAGAAAACAAAGAAAGGCAAAAAACAGCAACCCUCAGCUCAUGCUAAGAGGCUUGCUCCUUCUAGAUAAGUGCAAUAAUAUAGAAUUUUAGAGAAAAGAAAGUGAAGAGGAAGAACAGUAAGAAAGAACAGUGUGAAAUUCAACAAUUAAAAUAUAAUUCUUGGGUUAUUACUUGAUUCUGUUUACUUUUCUCCAUUUUGUAGGCUCUUGCACCUCUUUCUUUCCAUUACUGUUAACAUUCCAUUACCUGUGAGAGAAAUUAAAGCAAAGGAUCCUUCCACAAUGGAUGAAAUUUAAGUCAAUUAAAUGGUGCUGCUUCAUUCUAGCUGAGAAAUACAAAUACAGCCUGUGUUCCCAGGGAGUCUGUAGACAGAACACUAUAAUUGAAGUUUUUACUGAUGUCCUUCAAAACAAUAUUUAAAAUGGAAAGAGAGCAAUAGAAAUCUCUAUUUAAAAAUUAUGAACUAUUUGUAAAUAAUAAUGAGCAAGAUUUUCAAAAUUCAUCUUCAGCACUUCUUAAAAUCUAAGAAACUUGAUCAUGCUUGUUUAAAAAACCUUUUAAGCAACUUAAGAGAAAAGGAUUGGUUUCCAUUUCAAAGGAAUCACCAAUUUUUACUGAACAAAAUUCUAGCUUAACUAUGCCAUGCAAACUUGGAACAAACAAGCAGAAUUUCUUGUAUGUAUCAAAACAAUUUUAUUAUACAGUACACCAAAAGAUCAGCUGCUUUAAAGUCAAAUGCUGAGACAUCAAAGGCGUAUUUUCAUGCAUGGAAAGGGUGAGACACUUGAAUACUCUCAGGUAAACUUCCAUAAAUUAAAAAUGAGACUCACUUGUUAAAAAGAACAUACGCAGUAUUGGUUAUGUACCAAAGGAACAAUGGCUUAAAUUUAAAAUUAAUCCUGUCUUAGAUUAGGUUGUCCAUUUAAUGAACAUUUAUUCAACUUCAAAUAACCAAGCAAAACGUUUGGGAUACUUUGUACUUUUUGCAUAUGACAGCACCAUCACCCACAUCUACAAAAAUGCUUUAAUAAACUCCAUAGAUACAAAAAGAUACCUAAAACUGCUUUUGCCAUGCAUCUUUCUUUCCAGAAAUAGCAUUCACUCAAGAUAAAUAACACUAUUUAAAGUACCCAAAUUGGUAAGAAACUUACAGUGGAAGAAAAACUGUAAUUUCUAAAUUGUGUUGAUAGAUCUACUUGUUAUUUCAUAUAAUUUUUCUGAAUUUAAAUACUAUUUAAAUCAAUAAGAAUCAAUACAUGGCUUUAAAAUUCUAAAAUGUAGAGACAAAUCCACAAAAUCUAAAUUACUCAGAGAAUAUAUCCCAAAAUUUCAACUCAUUUAGCUUUAUGGAAAGGAUAAUAGAAAUCCACUACUAGCAAGUACUAGUCAUUCAUCUUCCCUCUCAUUUCAUGUUUACAAACAAGGUGCUUCUUGCACCUGAGAAGCUUUUACAGUUACCCCUGAGCCACAACGUGCUGUUGGCCAGAAAAGCUGUCUGGUGAAGGAUCACAAGAUUUUCAUCUGAGUCUGAUGUGCUUCCCUAAAUAUCCACAGGUCUAGCCUAGUACAGACAUUCUCAUGUUCUCCUUAGAAGUCAUUCCCAUAAGACAGUAUCAAUUUCGUGUUAGAUAAAAGCACUCUAAAUCUGUUCAUCUUCUUUCAGCCCAUGAACCUCAGUGACUACACAGCAAGUGCACUUGCAUCAGAGAAAUAAGCUAUGCUAGAAACCAAGACCUUACAUGUUCCUGCUUUUGACUCCCAUGUUUUCACAGCUCUGAUAAAGCAACAGCUUGGAUUUUUGAGAUUCAAAGUUGCCUCCUGUGACAGCUUCAAACUCACUUGCUGUCUCUGCUUUCCUCAGAUUAUGUUUGUUUUCAAAAGAAGCUUCAUACAUUUAAAUUCCUGCAAUAAGUAGCAGCUUGUAAAUAUUUAAUUUCAUUUAAAGAAAAAAGAAUUCAUUGCCUAUCAGCUGCAAAAAAUAAUAAUGAGGCAUACUUGGCAAAGUCCCACCUCAGAAUAACAUCACCCAACUAUGAGAAUGACAUGCACUAAUAUUUGAACUUAACCCAGACAAUAAAAUCCACAGCAACAGACAUUGCAGAAGCUGUGUUUUGCUCACAGCUUCUUUUAUAUAUUAAAUAGAACACUGAAUAGAUUAUGAUUAUUUUUCAAUUACACUUGGAUGAUCAACAAAGUCAUUUCAAAUUCUUAUUAGAUGGCAUGUGCAGAUCACAGAACUGGCAAUGGAAUUUUGAGUAUUUCAUUUCUAAUUAUGAUUAUUUAAACUCACCUGGAAGCUUAACACAGAAGCCUCAAUCCAAAACUAACCCUGGGUAAGAUUUAAGGGAUCUCUUAACAGCUUUCAAUUUGGCUCAUUAAGUGAAAUAUACCACUUAGUUGAAAUACGCCAGUUUCAACUAAGAUGAGGUAUUUUGGGGACAAUUGUUUUUUUAACUCUGCUACUGCUGUGCUCUAGAGCUACAGGUCUUGCCAUGAACACAAGAUUUCCUUAAGCAAUGCCAUGCACUCUGUCCAAUUCUACACACAACUUGUGACCAAGUGUGCACAUCUCUUUUCACGGGAAUGGUGACUCCCAGACUGAUGAGGUGUCAGUGCCAUAACUAACCAUGUCUUUCAAGAUCUUUUUUUCAGAUGGAUGGGGAAGGUGAUGCUAUUCAAGCCCUCAGGGGUGAGAAAGCUGAUUUAAUACUGAGAAGGAAAUGAAGGGAGAAUAACAAAGGAGGCACACCGAGACAAAGGAUGGAGGAAGGAGGAAUGAGACAUACCAAAAAAAAGCAAAUGAGGAAGUAACAGAAACAAAGGAUAGCUGCAGAACUUGCCUAAAGGGGAGCAAAGUUUCUGACCGACUGAUAGCGACUGUGACAAUCAGGUUCACUUAAUAAAUACAAGUCUAUUUAGUGGCUACAAAAAAUAAAAAGCUUACCUAUUUCACGCAAACCAUCCACAUACAACAGACUGUGGAUCAAAGACUAUGAACUCUUUAUAUUAUUCCCUGGCACAGAGUCUUCGCCUAAAUGUGAAUUUCAGUGCUCUCAUCUCAAUGGGCUCAACUUCUGAGUUACCAACCCCUGUGAAACAUCACACUGGGCUGAGUUCUGCUCCCUCAGGGAAGCCUUGAUGUACUCCACAAAGUACAGCAAUGCAACAACCAGACUUUCUGGCAGUUUUUGCAAACAAGAUAAAAAUUACAUCCUUCUGUAGCUUUACAUUCCCAUCUUCAGGAACAGUCUCUUCACAGUUAGGAACAUUAGAGCCAAGAUGUAAUCCCUCACAACAGAUGGACAUUGAUUCAAUGGACAGGAAGUGGAGGCACUUCUUUUCAUGUAGCUGCAGUGUUCAAAAAGCGCCUCUUGCCUCAGAAACACACACAAAAACAUCCUGAGCAUUCCUGUGUGCUUGCAGACUGAUCAAACUAAACCAAGUCCACCCACUGAUGAAGAAACUUGUCUUCAAUUCUUAUGUUGUAGCAGUUCAUGUUAGUUUAAGAAGUGCCUUUCUGCAUUUAACUAAACCACAAGAAAUAUUUUAUAUUGAUAAUUUACCAGCUACCAACCCAGUUCUCACACAGAUUAUAUAUGGUCAUCUGAUAUCAGUCAUCUCCCUCCCAAGGGUUUUUAAAUCAAGAAAUGGAACAGAGGGCACAAGGUGCUUAUAUAAUAAAUUUUAAAAAUUCUCUCUUAGGGUUUUCGAGGAGCAAUGAGAUUAUUAAAAGGUUCAAAGCCUUGUAAAUGAAGCCCACUUUAUAAAAAGAACAUCUGGUUUAAAGCAGUUGGAAGAGGAGGAAGAAAGGCAGGAAAAGAAGAUUUUGUUAGUAGCCCUCAGUGCUCUGCCCAGUAGCCCUUGAGAGAUGCUGCAGGAAGAUGAACAUAUGUAUUUCAUUAUGGACUGAAAAUGUGCUCACUGAGCUACAUCCUACCAUUUUUAAGCAAAGGUGCCUGAUUCAGCCUUUAUGCAGGGAAUGUGUUCCUUCUGCAUCUUACCUCACAGAAGCUGACAGGAACCAACAACUUAAUCAAUGAAUCAGAAAGUAGGUUUCACAGAGCUACAAACUAGCUGUUCAGCUGAUCUGCAACACUUUUUUUUUUUUUUUCUUUGCUUCUCUUCUUUACAUGGCUUUAGACAGUGUUAAAUAAUAGUAUCUGUGACCUGAGAGAAAUUUAGUACAUUGAUAGUACUCAAAAAAUAUGGACACUUUUGCUCUAUCCACACAUCCUCUUACCUCUUGCAUGUGCUCAGCAGCACCUUGGUGGAUUGUCACAUACAAGAGAGGAAAGAAGAAACUUUGGAUUCUUUCAUAUUUGUUUUUCCUAUCAGGCUGGGAAACUACAAAAAGAAGAGGAUCAGAUCUCAGCUGACUCCACCAGUAUUGGCCUCCCUCGCCCAGGGAGAAAGAAAAGCUCAGAACCAUCAAUACUAACAGCUUCUCAAUUUUCUACCCCAAGCACCAGUAUGGUCAAGGACAACCAGAGCGUUCACUGUCAGUCCUGUAAUCUGC
ensembl:lncRNA